rnacentral:lncRNA from 1 species
GCUCUUCCUUUGAAUGAGGCCACAUACAAUGUAAAGAAACAAAGGUUAAAGGAUGGGACACCAUGCCCUAACCCAUUGCUCGAGUGGGCAUGUCAUGUGCUAUCUUCCCUUCAUCAGCUGCUUCAGAUAUUUGACUCUGCAUGAAAAGGACUGGCCUAAAAGGUGGCAAUCUAUCUUACUGUAAACUGAGUUUUUAUCAGGUAUAUUUCUUGUCUAAUAAUGUUAUGGUUAUGUGUGUUUUUUCUUUUUUGAUAACAAUUAUCUUCAUGAGCCUGACUUGCUUAGUUGUUUUGUAAUUACUGUAAAUAGAAAUUUGAUACUGGGUUAAUGACUAUUUUUCUUCAAACUCUCAUAAUCUAGAGACUGUGACUGUGAUAAGAUCUUGACUCUUGGAUUUAUUGAUUAUGACGAGUUUAAAGGAAGCUUUGAACUCCUGUGUUAAUUGAGGAAUGUUAAUUUUACUCUCUGGGUCUUUGGAGUUUCCAAGCUAUUCCAAAGAAUGAUUGGUUCAGCCUAAUUGGAGUAUACCUCUGGUGAUGCCACAAAGAGUACGACAAAUUUGAAAGCGUUUUGAAAAUGAAAAUUUUAGUACCGACGGACUUAGUCGGGCUAAGAUUUAAAAACUCGAGUUUUCUCUCUUUAUUUACAAUAACUAAACAAAUUCUAUGCGUAAAGUGUUGACUAACUAUUUCAGUCGGUUAUCCGAAAUUUCUAACUAUAUAUGUAAACAGACUUAGAGACUACAUUCUUUCCCCAUCAAUGACUAAUUGGUAAACUGUGUUUUCAAGAGAGAAAACGCUUAAAACACUUCGAUUAUAACUACGAAUCAAUUUGAUCUGUAUAGCUUCACUAUUCUAUUAAAUUCUGAAAAUUCCUGAUUUACCCACACCUCUUUUAUUCUUUUCCCCUCCAAUGGACCUCAAAAGGGCAUCACGGUUUACUGUUUUCUGCUACAGCACUGGAGAGAUCGCUAUCUGCAGUGCAAAAGGUUGACUAACAGUUGGAAAAAUAACAAUUCCAUACAUAUAAAGGAGAACCAUAUACAUACAUACACUCACCAACAUCACGUUUCUUAGAUUUAGUGCUCCUUUGGUAUUGAAACACAGAUAUUAAUUACAAUUACCCUUCUAAUUGCAGUGAUGAUAUCAAUAUCAGAGUUAUUUUUUUAUUUAUUAAUCUUUCUUAUAUAGGCAUUAAUCUGACACCUACUCAGCAAAAAGAGCUUUCAAGUUUCAAGUUUUGCUUAUUCCAAAGUCCAAUGCAUCUAAAUAGUUUUAUUUUUUUAAAAGAAAUAUAAUAGUAUUGAUUCAUAAUUAAUCCUAACUUAUAGAACAAGAUAAUUUUUUUGAGAUCAGUGGUAAAGUAUAAAUCUAGCGUUGUCAGACCGCUGUUAGAUUAAGAUGUAUAAAAAAAUAGAUAAAUAAAUAAUAUCUAAAUAAUUUUUAAUUUUUAUUGCAAUUACAAUAUAACACACUUUUUGAAUAAUUUGAUAGUACAUUAUAUAAAUUGAAUAUAAAGAAAUCCCACAUGAGGAAAGUCCAAAAAAAUGUUUUCUUUCCCAUGUGAGCCUAGUGAUCUUGUCCUAAAUCAAUACACUAAACAUAUAUGAACUUGUGGGUAACUUGUCAGUAAUGUCUUCAAGCAACCAUUUAACAGAAGAUCAUCAAUCGAUCAAGAAUCAAUAAUGAUUAUUAUGAAUUAAUGGACAAAAAGAAUGGAGAAAUCCUGGAUUUUGAGGAAAUGAACUAUUCUGCAAAGCUCCACAGACGAAAAUCGUCUUCGAAAAAAUCAUCGAUCAUCAUCGGUGGAGGAUUGAACGACGAAGCAGCCCCAUUAUUGAUGAACAUUUGAUCAAGAAACUUGGGUGACGAAAGUUGAUCGUCAAAGUUAUACCAUGAAUACUCAUCAUGACUAUAUGUCCCAAAAGACUGCAUUAGCGACACAUCAUCAUAUACAUCUAGUUGAUCACACGAUGAUGGGGAUGAUAUGGAUGAUGAUGAUGAUGAUGAUGAUGGGGAUUGUAAGGAAGAAGGCUGAGGUGGCGAUGAUACUGGUGUGGUUGCGGUGGUGGCAGUUGCGGUUGCAUUGUCUGUAAAACUAUUAGCGGCAGCAGCAGCAAUUCUUUGAAUAGAUUUAGGUGACAUAACGGUGUCAGGAAUGUAAUGAGAGGAAGUGAUAGGAAAGUUAAGGUUAGCUGAAGAGCCUUUAAGACAUAAAAGUGCAGCAUCAUAUGCUCUAGCUGCAGCUUCAGCAGUAGAAUAAGAGCCUAACCAAAUUCUCGUUUUCUGAUUUGGUGCUCUUAUUUCUGAUACCCAAGAACCCCAGCUUCUCAUUCUCACUCCUUUGUAUUUCUUUUUUGUCGAUGCUGAAGAUGAAGGAGAUGUUGCCAUUGGCUUUGCUGAUGUUUCUGAUUGGAUCUUCUGCUCACUCUUCACCAUUGCUAAAUAUAUAUAUUUAGAUGAUCAAGAACCUGCUCGAAGAUCAAGUGCUACAGCUAGCUUUCUCUCGAACGAAACCGAAGGGAUCUUGAAUUCUUGAUUCUCUUGUUUUCACUCUUGUAAAUACAAUACAAACUUGUUUUCUUGAAUUCUUGUUCUUUCUCUGAAAGGUAGAGGAGAGAUAAUGAAUGAGAUUGCGAACUGAAAAUGAGAAGGAGAGACAAAAGGUUGGUAUUUAUAGAAUAUGGGAAAGGUUAACUGUGAGUGCAAAAUUCCAUUAGUGCAAAAGGGAACAGUGUGUGUGGUUGUUCCAAAACUUGACUGUAAAAUGGCUGACAGAUAUUUUUUAGCUAAUAUAAAUAGAAAUUAGAAAAAUAUUUUAUAUGUAUAAUGUCCCUUUUGAUGAUUUUAUUUGAAAAUGACUUAUCUGUCCUGGCAUGGUCAAACUAUGCCAGAUAGAUAAUUUAAUCACAUUAUUUUCUAAAAAUUAACAACACCAAAUGCAUCACUACGCUUAACCCAUUUGCUUAUCAAAUAGUAUAAUAAUCUUCUUCUAUGUAUUAUGUUUUACACUUGGAAAGAAUGCAUACGUUAUUAUUUUUCUUCAACAGUUAAAACCCAUUAUUAUUAAUUUCAGUAGUCUUUUUUCUGUAAGCAGGUUAUGUGAAUUCAAUUACCAGAGGGCUUUGAAAUGGUCAUCUACGCACGUAUUAAGAACUUAUAUUUUUAACCAAGAAAUGAUCUUUACACUUCUGUCAGAAGAUUUUAUAGUGUUUAAUUACUUGAAGAAAUGUGGCGUGCUAUGACUAAUAUACGUACUGUUCUUCUCAUUCAUAAAUUAAAAAUAAAAAUAAUAAUUUCA